rnacentral:rRNA from 1 species
CAAUAGCGUAUAUUAAAGUUGUUGCAGUUAAAAAGCUCGUAGUUGGAUUUCGGGGCAGCCUGGCUGGUCCGCCGCAAGGCGAGUACUGGUCAGCCGCCCUUCCUCUCGAAAGCCCCGACUGCUCUUUAUUGCAGUGGUCGGGUAGUUCGGGACGUUUACUUUGAAAAAAUUAGAGUGUUCAAGGCAGGCCUACGCCUGAAUACAUUAGCAUGGAAUAAUGGAAGAGGACCUCGGUCCUAUUUUGUUGGCUUCCAGGACCGAAGUAAUGAUUAAGAGGGACAGUUGGGGGCAUUCGUAUUUAAUUGUCAGAGGUGAAAUUCUCGGAUUUAUGAAAGACGAACAACUGCGAAAGCAUUUGCCAAGGAUGUUUUCAUUAA